rnacentral:tRNA from 1 species
UGCAGGAUAGAGCAGCUUGGUAGCUAACCGGGCCGGAGGACGUGGGUUCAAAUCCCACUCCCGCUA